ensembl:lncRNA
GUUCUGAUCUGGGGGUGACCCUAGGUGGGGUUCAUCUCCCCCUGAGUGGGCUGUCGCCCCUAAAGUGGUGCCGGGAGCUCGAGGGGAGGCUUUGCUGCCACAGCCAUGGGUCAGGGGGUAAGGAGCCGGCGGGGGGCUGGCGUGCCCACCCCAGGGAGCAGCUCUCUGUCGUCGUCACCGCCGUUCCUAUGCUGGCAGCCAUUUCCCCCUCGCGCUGCUCUUGCUGCGUGCUUCAAGUUUAAAAACCAAACCCUUCUGCCACAGGUGCCCAUCGGGGCACGGACUUGCUGGUCGCUGCAUGCUGGGGAUCCCCUCGGCAAAUUCGGGGUGACCCCACGAGCGGGACACCGGAUCCCUCGUCCCACACUGGUUCUGGUCAUCCCCGCGGGGCCGCUGAUGCCCGCUGAGUCCCCCUCCCGCCCCGUCUGUCCUCCGAAUAAAGUGGUAACACCUGACUUAUUUCCCACUUUCCCCCCCACUUUGAAGAUGGCAUCGACAGCAACAGCCACACGAGCGAGCCCCAGGGCACCACCCAUCCGUACAUCAGGCGGCCUCAAGCCCGAGGUCAGAUCCCGCUAAGAUAGGGAGAGUGUUGGACCAAGAACACCCCGUCCUGCACCAGGAGAUGAAGCUGCCGGAAACAAAGCCAGAAGAACCCCCCCUGCUCCUGCCUACAACGUUCCCCCUCCCAACUACAGCACACCCGCUCCCCCCUACAACAUCCCCCCUCCCCUCCCCCCGCCCCCCACCUACAACGCACCCCCGGCCGGUUACGGCGCGCCGCCGACCGGCUACACCGCUCCUGCCUACAGCGUGCCACCAGCCAGCUACAGCGCCCUGGCCCCGGGUUACAGCACUCCCCCCCCCUGCCUACAGUGCUCCCCCUGCCUACAGUGCUCCCCCCACUGCCUACAGCACCCCUGUCCCCCCCACCUACGACACUCCCCCGGGUGGCUACAGCGUGCCGGACCCCUCGCAGCCCCGGCUGCUGCCGCUGCAGCCCCGCAAACGGCCAUACGAGGAGCAGCGGGGCCGGGGUUAUUACGAGCACCGUGAGGACAAGAGGGGCCGCUCACCGCAGCCGCCCGCCGAGGAUGAUGAGGAGGAUUUCGACGACACACUGGUGGCCCAUCGAUACUUGUGAGUGCCCCGAAAAGUGGCAUGGGGGUGGCGGGAGAAACCCCCCACCCCGGGUUGGGGAGCCUGACACGCGGCUUCCAUCCCCCACCUCCAGACAACUGCGACCUGCACUUCAAAGUCGCCCGGGACCGGUACAGCGGCUACCCCCUCACCAUCGAGGGCUUCGCCUACCUCUGGUCGGGCGCCCGUGCCACCUACGGUGCACAGCAGGGCCGUGUCUGCUAUGAGAUGAAGGUGAGUGAUGUCGGGUCCCGCCAAGGUGUCCCGGCACCAGCGAUGCUGUCCCCAACCCCUUCUUCUCCGUCCAGGUUAAUGAGGAGAUCUCCGUUAAGCACCUGCCUUCUACCGAGCCAGACCCCCACGUGGUGCGGGUGGGCUGGUCGCUGGAUUCCUGUAGCACUCCGGCAGGGGGGGUUGGGGGGGGUCUGGGGGGCUGCCAAGACGCCUGGGUCUGCUGGGGUGACUCACAGU